rnacentral:rRNA from 1 species
UACGUAGGUGGCAAGCGUUAUCCGGAUUUACUGGGUGUAAAGGGCGUGUAGGCGGGACUGCAAGUCAGAUGUGAAAACCACGGGCUCAACCUGUGGCCUGCAUUUGAAACUGUAGUUCUUGAGUACUGGAGAGGCAGACGGAAUUCCUAGUGUAGCGGUGAAAUGCGUAGAUAUUAGGAGGAACACCAGUGGCGAAGGCGGUCUGCUGGACAGCAACUGACGCUGAGGCGCGAGAGCGUGGGGAGCAAACAGG